AUUGAACGCUGGCGGCAUGCCUUACACAUGCAAGUCGAACAGCAGCGGGGGAGAAGCUUGCUUUUCCUGCCGGCGAGUGGCGAACGGGUGAGUAAUACAUCGGAACGUGCCCUGUAGGGGGGGAUAACUAGUCGAAAGAUUAGCUAAUACCGCAUACGACCUGAGGGGGAAAGUGGGGGACCUCAAGGCCUCAUGCUAUGGGAGCGGCCGAUGCCUGAUUAGCUAGUUGGUGGGGUAAAGGCCUACCAAGGCGACGAUCAGUAGCUGGUCUGAGAGGACGAUCAGCCACACUGGGACUGAGACACGGCCCAGACUCCUACGGGAGGCAGCAGUGGGGAAUUUUGGACAAUGGGCGAAAGCCUGAUCCAGCAAUGCCGCGUGUGUGAAGAAGGCCUUCGGGUUGUAGAGCACUUUUGUCCGGAAAGAAAUGGCUCUGGUUAAUACCUGGGGUCGAUGACGGUACCGGAAGAAUAAGGACCGGCUAACUACGUGCCAGCCGCCGCAGUAA
rnacentral:rRNA from 1 species